rnacentral:lncRNA from 1 species
AGGCUACUUCGCUUAGGAACCAGUCUUUUAUGGGUAGACUCACACCUUAGAGUAUCAAGGGCACUUUUAAGAACCUCUAACUUUUACGGGUAAGUUAGUACCUUAGAGUAUCAAGGAACUCUUAAAAACCUCUCUAAGCUUUAAGGCUACUUCGCUUAGGAACCAGUCUUUUACGGGUAGACUCACAUCUUAGAGUAUCAAGGGCACUCUUAAGAACCUCUAACUUUUACGGGUAAGUUAGUACCUUAGAGUAUCAAGGAACUCUUAAAAACCUAGAAAUCUUUCAAGGUAGAUUCG